rnacentral:lncRNA from 1 species
CUAUAAUACAGCAACCUUAUGGCUAUACACUUAGUUUUCAAAAGCUAAAUAUGAAGUAUGAAAUUGGAUACAAGUUGAGGGCUAGGCAAGCUUGAAGAGUGCACACUGGUGACAGUCAUUUGGCAGUGUUCUUUGGUACACACAUCCAGAUGAGGUUUGUUCGAAGCACAUCAGCCAUGACACUUUAACUGUCAAGAAGAGGCCACACGCAGAGGUCCUUCUCUUGCCAUGUGCUUCUGUGUCUUGUCAGUAUCAUGUCCAUAAGUAAAUAAAAAAAAGCAAACCCCAAACAAACAACUUUUUUUGUUCUUUAAAGGAAUCAGUACAGUGGAUAGAGCUGGAUUAUGAAGUCCCAGCAAUUUUUUUCCUGAAGCCCUUCCCAUCUCAGAGAUGUUACUCUGUUUUCAUGUUCUGCUUGUGGUUUUCUGUCUGCAGUUUAACUGUUCAUUUUUCAUCUGGUGAAUGCUUCCAGUGCAAGCCACUGACUGGACUUGCAGCCACAUUACUGUCUGCAGCACUUUGAAACCUUCUCCAGUUGUAUCACACAUUCCCAGAGAAAUUCCAGCUCUGACGGUGCUUCUAAUUGGUGUACAAGACAGAAUGCUGACUAAGGCUAAUAAAUCAGGCUGCAUAGAUGAAAGACUCACAUGGAGAAUGGUACGCUGUGCAUUAGGAUUGCAGAUAUCCUCUGGGAUCUGAACAGAGAAGGACUGUUUGAGAUGUGCACUCUGCUUGUCAAAGAGAAAUAAGUGCUGCAAUAAAAAGAGCAGUUGGAUAUCUAAACUCCUCUCA